UCGGUAGCGACUCUAGGGCCUGGAAGGCUGCAGGAAACGGCUGUGCUGAGUGCAGGUGGAGGAUGCGCCCGAGGAGGCAGGUGCUUGGGGCCUUCCCGGAAAACCCUGACACUUUGGCACAGACAGCUUCUGCAUAAUCAGUAGGCUCCACCCUGGGUAUGGAGCCCAACGCAGGGCUUGAACUCACCACCCUGAGAGCAAGAGCUGAGCUGUGAUCAAAAGUCGAACACUUAACCAACUGAGCCACCCAGGUAGCAGGGAAACAAUGAGUAUUUAUAAGCCCACAACCAGUUUAAUUUCUAAGUACCUCAGAUGGCAGUGAAAAACAUAAAAUGAUGUUGGAAUAUUGAUGACAUGGGGACUGCAUGGGGCUGCUGCAGCUUCCAGACUGGAGAAGGUAAGGACCUCAACUAACAUGUUGGCAAAGCAACAGGAAGACCAGAUUUAUGAGCGAGUUCUUAAGGGUGAAAAGGAAACCAGUAAGAAUGAUUUCCAACUUAAUGACCUGAGUAGACAGUGUUGUCAUUAACCAAGGUAGGAAAACUGAGUGGGGAUGAUCUCUCUAGAGAUAAUGAAUUUUAAUGAAUAUGACACAAAGACCAUGGGACAAGGUGGAAAUGUCCAAUGGGUUUGGAAACACGUGAGAUUUUUGAGACUUGGGAAAGAGAUCUAUAACUCAUGGAACAUGGAAGCUGGUGCCAAAAUACGGAAGUAGAAUUACAAGCAGAAGGAACAUUUCCUAAUUUCAUGAGGCCAGCAUUAUCCUAAUAUCAAAACCAGAUAAAAUCAUUUUAAGAAAUGAAAAUUAAGAGGACAUUAUCUCU